UACGUAGGUGGCAAGCGUUUGUCCGGAAUUAUUUGGGCGUAAAGCGCGCGCAGGCGGUCCUUUAAGUCUGAUGUGAAAGCCCGGGGCUCACCCCCGGAAGUGCAUUGGAAACUGGUGGACUCGAGUCCCGGAGAGGAGAGUGGAAUUCCUGGUGUAGCGGUGAAAUUCGUAGAUAUUCGGAAGAACACCAGUGGCGAAGGCGGCUCACUGGCCCGGUACUGACGCUGAGAUACGAAAGCGUGGGGAGCAAACAGG
rnacentral:rRNA from 1 species